rnacentral:lncRNA from 1 species
CAUUUUACGGGUCAAAGUUGAGAGAUAAGUAGCAAGCUAAUCAUUUUGUUUAUUUUAUUUAAAAAUAAAUUUAGCUAAAAAUGUGAAUUAAUUAGGAUUUGAACUUGAGACCUCGGGUACUAACUACUAAACCCGUUGCCAUUUGCACUAGGGACGGUCGGUAAUUAAAAAUGCAUUAUAGAUCAAAUUUUCUGUAGUUAGAAGUGUGAUAGUUAUAAUUACAUAGAUCUUAUUUGUUGACUGGAUGUAGAAAAUAUAGUAAUAUUUAUAAAUAUUUUGUUUGAUUGUGCACAAUUAUUAAGUGCAAUUAUAAAAUUUUAUCAUUUUAUAUAUAGAUGAUAAAUAUUACUCUCUAUAUUGUCCUAUUUAAGGGUGGUUUGGUUUGAGUUACCCUAGCAGGAUUACAGGCAAUCCUGCGAGAAUUACUAUAUUUGAUUCAUUUGGUAUGUAUAAAAUUACACCGACACUACAACAAAAACUGUUUAUAGCGAUACUUUUAAAUAUAGCUACAUGUCAAAAAAGUGCUGCUAGCUAAAAUUACCGACACUUUUAAAAAGUGUUGCUAUAUGUGGGGUCGCUAGGUAUAUAGUGACAGUUAAAGAGUGUCGCUAUAACCUAAAAGAGUGCUGCUAAUUUACCAACACUUAUUUAAGCAUUUAGCAACCGCCGAAACUCUAUCUCGUUGGCUGCGGUGGCGGAGGAGGACGACAGGAAAGGCUUUUCGUCUAGAAUUUCAGUGAAUUGAGUGAAGAGAGAAGAAAAGAUGGUAAUUGAUUUUUCUUUUUUUUUUUCUUUUCUGUUUGUAAUCGGGCCAAAUGGACUGGGUGUGGUGGGUUGAGUAAAGUAAUCUUUUAUUUUUGGUUGGAUUGGGCUUUAUAUUUAGGCAUUAGUAGAUGUUUUUUUAAGUUUUAGAAUAAAUGGGACACUUACUCAAAAGUGUCCCAAACAUGUGUUCCUAUAACCUAAUUCUGUUGUAGUGCGAAAAUAUUACCGAGGGUGUGUAUCUUAGAUUACUGAAAACGGCUAAUCUUGCGUGUUAUAUAUUACAAGUUUACUCCUCCAACUCUCGAAACCCUUUCAAUAUGUUAUUUUGAAAUUUUUAAUUUUUAAUUUUUAAAUAUUUAAACUUUAAAUUUUAAAAUUUAAAAUUCAAAUUUGUAUUUUAAAUUCUAAAUUUUAAAUUUAGAUUUUAAAUUUUAAAUUUUAAAUUUUAAAAUUUAAAUUUAAAAUUAAAAUUUAUAUUUAAAUUGUAGAUUUUAAAUUUAUAAAUUUCAUAUCUAUAUUUUAAAUUAAAAUAUUAAAUUUUAUAUUUUUGUUCAAAUUUAAAAUUUUUAAAAAAUAAAUUAUUUAAAAUAAAAUUUUGUAAAAAAUAUUAUUUGUAAACAGUAAAAAAAAAAGUUUGCCAAAUAUGACUAAAGGCAAUUUUGAAAUAGAGUAUACUUUAUUGUCAAAAUUUCUGAAUUUUAUAGACUGAACCAAACAUGAUAAUGCUAUAAACAAUACAAUCCAACAUUAUAUUAUUGCAUUAAACCAAAUGCGCUGAUGUAGCAUCAGUAGUAAUCUCAUUUAGAAAUUCAAAAUACCUGUAUAUAUCAAAAUACUCUGUAAUACUAUAUAACUGGAACCAAACCCGUCCUUAAUGUUAUUUUCUAUUGGUGUUGUUGUUAAAACCGUGACCAAUUAAUUUUCUCCUAUUUAAUUUAAAUCAUAUCUAUACGGUGAGGAUAAGUGUUGAAGAUACAAUAUAGAAAUAU